GGACAAGUGUCCGAGCGGUCGAAGGAGACGGUCUUGAAAACCGUUGAACGAAAGUUCCGCGAGUUCGAAUCUCGCCUUGUCCGC
rnacentral:tRNA from 1 species